rnacentral:rRNA from 1 species
AACAAAAACAUGUCCUUUUGAUAUUUAUAUAAGGUCUGACCUGCCCACUGAUUAAUUGAAUGGCCGCAGUAUUUUGACUGUGCAAAGGUAGCAUAAUCAUUAGUUUUUUAAUUAAAAGCUAGCAUGAAUGGUUGGACGAGAUAAAAUCUGUCUCUAUUUAAUUUAUUAUAAAAUUUAAUUUUUAAGUUAAAAAGCUUAAAUUAUUAUAAAAGACGAGAAGACCCUAUAGAUCUUUAUAUUAAUAUAAAUAUUUUUAAUUAGGAAUAUUUUAUUUUUUAUUUAUAUUAAUAUUUUAUUGGGGCAAUAAAAAAAUUAAAUAAAUUUUUUUUAUUAUUAAAUACUAAUUAGUAAUUAUAUGAUCCAAUAUUUUUGAUUAUAAGAUUAAGUUACCUUAGGGAUAACAGCGUAAUUUUUUUAGAGAGUUCAUAUCGAUAAAAAAGUUUGCGACCUCGAUGUUG